GACGAACGCUGGCGGCGUGCUUAACACAUGCAAGUCGAACGGUAAGGCCCUUCGGGGUACACGAGUGGCGAACGGGUGAGUAACACGUGGGUGAUCUGCCCUGCACUUCGGGAUAAGCCUGGGAAACUGGGUCUAAUACCGGAUAGGACCACUGCCUGCAUGGGUGGUGGUGGAAAGCUUUUGCGGUGUGGGAUGGGCCCGCGGCCUAUCAGCUUGUUGGGGGGGUGAUGGCCUACCAAGGCGACGACGGGUAGCCGGCCUGAGAGGGUGACCGGCCGCCCUGGGGCUGCGAUACGGCCCAGACUGCUACGGGAGGCAGCAGUGGGGAAUAUUGCACAAUGGGCGCAAGCCUGAUGCAGCGACGCCGCGUGAGGGAUGACGGCCUUCGGGUUGUAAACCUCUUUCAGCACCGACGAAGCGCAAGUGACGGUAGGUGCAGAAGAAGGACCGGCCAACUACGUGCCAGCCGCCGCGGUAA
rnacentral:rRNA from 1 species